rfam:Pseudomonas syringae pv. tomato str. DC3000, complete genome.
CUACUCUGCGCCCGUCGCUGCAUAUUCAGCGAUGAGGAUUAGUAGCCCUCGUUA